rfam:Pteropus alecto contig97547, whole genome shotgun sequence.
UUCUACGGCCAUUCUACCCUGAACAAGCCCGAUCCCAUCUGAUCUUGGAAGCUAAGCAGGGUUGGGCUUGGUUAGUACUUGGAUGGGAGACCACCUAGGAAGACCAGGUGCUGUAGGCA